AGGCGCAGGAGUCCCUCUUCUUCCCGGCCUGCGGA
rnacentral:ribozyme from 1 species